UUGGGAGGAGUUAGCCCCAUUUUGUGGGAAAGUUGUGCAUAUGUAUAUGCAGUACCGUGACUUAGUCAGAUGGUUGCGGCGGCUGCAUCUGGGAAGAUCUGUAAUGAAGCUGACCAUCGACUUGGCAAAUCCUCUUAUUUCACCUUCUGAUAACAUUGAGGGUGGCCUGAGACAGACCACGAUCUUUCCCUUUUUUCGCAGAGGAUCACUAUUGUUACACUCCAUUUAAAUUCAGGAAUAAGCAUCUCAUGUCGCCAUACUCCACUGCAUUGGACCUGUAUGAGCAAGGCGGUCUUGGGGAGAGAGACUUUCCAUGCUGAGAAAAGAAAGACGCAAAGGGGUUUUUUUUGAAACACAGAAAUUCUGCUUGAAGCUAUCGAAUCAAUAUUUCGGCAGCCCUCAUAAAUGCACUGUGAAGGAUGCCCAGUCUGAAAAGUUCUUUGAGUAGAAAUGAAAACCGAUUUUUCAAGUGACUGCUCUGGCUGAUGCAAGACUGGUGUAUGGUACACUUCCUGGUCCAAGAAGCCUUCAGCUUGCAUCAACUCACCAUACCAGUUCAUCAGCCAAUUCAAAACAUAUUGGACUCAGAGAUGAAAGUGCAACCUAAGGAACUGGAUCACAAAGAGAUGCAUGGAGCUGAUAUCGGUUGAAAAAUGAUGUGACUGCCUCUAUCAGCAUGAAUUAAACAGGGUUUUAAAAAUAAAAUAUUGUUUUCAAUUAAAACAGUCUUCCACUAUGUCACGUUUUCCAAAGAGUAAUACUAGGGAACAUCCUAAGAAGAUCAUGUGCAGCAUAUCUUCUC